rnacentral:lncRNA from 10 species
AAAAAAAUGACCUUAUCGUUAACAAAAUAGUGAAUGCUUCCACAGUGCCUGUUUGUACAGAGUGCUUCACAAGCAUGAGCUCAUGUGAUUUCCUCAUCACUUGCUUUUCCAGCUGUAACAGGUUUGGAGAAGGCAGCUGUGGAUUCUCUUUAGCUUUUGUUUGAGAGGUUUCUCUCUUCCUGGUCAAGAAGCCACAUGACCCGAAUGUAACUAGGACGGUGUUGUUGAGCACUUGCUUGUGGACCCCUCUGGGGUCUGCAGAUGACUGGCAGGAUGCUGGAGCCUGCAGGUUUUGCUAGUUUCCUACUUGCAUGGAUCCUUUCUUGCCCCAGCUCUGGAUAGGUUCCCAGGCUUCAUUAGAAUUCAUGGACGGUUAUCUGCAAAGACUUCUGGACAAGAAGCACAUCCAGUACUUCCUAAAAGAGCAGAUGGGACCAUAGCAAGAAUCUCUUUGCUGCCCGACACAUGAGAAGCGGCCUGCCCAGCUGGCACUUGCUCUCCUACAACCAGCCUCAACAAGGCAUCGAGCUGCCUGCACCAGUGACAGCAAAGCAGCACCUGCCUGUCUGCAGCUCAGGGAUUUUCUCUCGCCCUCAGUCGUACAGCCUUAGCCUUCCAGGUGGUUUCUAGGGCUGGCACAGAAAAAUGGAUCUGUGGCAGUCAUGGUUCCUGGACUUCUAGAAAUGACUAUAUUCCAGGAGAUGCAGAAAUGCUACUGAACAUGGAUGUGCAGCACCACAGAAAACCUAUGUGGGAUCCUGAUCACCAGUGGAAGCCCGGCUCCUUAGAGAGCUAAGAUGGAACAAAGAAAAUUCCCAGGCCCGGGAACCACCAGAGGUACUACCUUAUUUGCUCAAAAGGUAGGUUAUGCCCAUAAGGGGCAGACCACGCAUGGCUCUACCUCUCUCUCUCUCUCUACACACACACACACUCUCUCUCUCUCUCUCUCUCUCCUGCUUUUAUUGUGCCAUUUUGGAUCUGUAGGAACUUGGGCUUGAAGAGCUACAUGAUCUGAAAUUCAGCAUGUAUCAGCUAGUAGGUUUAGGUUAUGUCCCGAGAGGGAUGUGCCUCCAGGUGGCUGUGACCUCACUUUCACAGUUCAUGCAGAGGAAAGUCAUCCUUGUGGUCCUGGGAGAGCUGGUCUGUUGCUGCCCAGGUUUGCCUGCACUGCCAGCAUGGCUCUCACAGCCCCCCAAAUUGUUUUCCUCUGAAAGGUUCAAAUCUUGACUCUGAAACAGACCUCAUAAUGAAACACCUAUGGGAAAAGUCUAUUCUCUGGCCUCUUUCCUGAGCUCAAUAAUGUUUAAUUUUUAAAAGCGGGGGAGGGAGGGAGGGAAAGAAGAAGUCUCUGAUAUUUCUCCAGUGCACUUGGCUCUCAUAGAUGGCCUUGGCCAAAACUCACCACCAGCGAUUGUGCCAGAACACCUGGUUUGAAUUCUGGCUGCCAUGCUGCUUCAUUUAAUGAGAUGGUCCCAACUUACUUUACUAUUUAAAAAGAAUUUGAGGCCAGAUGCAGUGGCUCAUGCUUUUAAUCUCAGCACUUUAGGAGGCCGAGGUGGGCUGAUCAUGAGGUC